GACGAGCAUCACAAACGUUAUUCGGAAUUACUGGGCUUAAAGGGUGCGUAGGCGGUGUAGCAAGUCGGGAGUGAAAUCCCGCAGCUCAACUGCGGAAUUGCUUUCGAUACUGCUGCGCUUGAGUGAGAUAGAGGUAAGCGGAACUUAGGGUGGAGCGGUGAAAUGCGUUGAUAUCCUAAGGAACACCGGUGGCGAAGGCGGCUUACUGGGUCUCUACUGACGCUGAUGCACGAAAGCCAGGGUAGCGAACGGG
rnacentral:rRNA from 1 species